rnacentral:rRNA from 1 species
GACGAACGCUGGCGGCGUGCCUAAUACAUGCAAGUAGAACGCUGAAGAGAGGAGCUUGCUCUUCUUGGAUGAGUUGCGAACGGGUGAGUAACGCGUAGGUAACCUGCCUUGUAGCGGGGGAUAACUAUUGGAAACGAUAGCUAAUACCGCAUAACAAUGGAUAACCCAUGUCAUUUAUUUGAAAGGGGCAAAUACUCCACUACAAGAUGGACCUGCGUUGUAUUAGCUAGUAGGUGAGGUAACGGCUCACCUAGGCGACGAUACGUAGCCGACCUGAGAGGGUGAUCGGCCACACUGGGACUGAGACACGGCCCAGACUCCUACGGGAGGCAGCAGUAGGGAAUCUUCGGCAAUGGGGGCAACCCUGACCGAGCAACGCCGCGUGAGUGAAGAAGGUUUUCGGAUCGUAAAGCUCUGUUGUAAGUCAAGAACGAGUGUGAGAGUGGAAAGUUCACACUGUGACGGUAGCUUACCAGAAAGGGACGGCUAACUACGUGC